AACGAACGCUGGCGGCAGGCCUAACACAUGCAAGUCGAGCGGACCUUUCGGGGUCAGCGGCGGACGGGUGAGUAACGCGUGGGAAUAUGCCCUUCUCUACGGAAUAGUCCUGGGAAACUGGGGGUAAUACCGUAUACGCCCUUUGGAGGAAAGAUUUAUCGGGGAAGGAUUAGCCCGCGUUGGAUUAGGUAGUUGGUGGGGUAAUGGCCUACCAAGCCGACGAUCCAUAGCUGGUUUGAGAGGAUGAUCAGCCACACUGGGACUGAGACACGGCCCAGACUCCUACGGGAGGCAGCAGUGGGGAAUCUUAGAAAAUGGGGGCAACCCUGAUCUAGCCAUGCCGCGUGAGUGAUGAAGGCCUUAGGGUUGUAAAGCUCUUUCAGCUGGGAAGAUAAUGACGGUACCAGCAGAAGAAGCCCCGGCUAACUCCGUG
rnacentral:rRNA from 1 species